UGGUUUCGGGUCUGGAGAGCUU
rnacentral:snRNA from 1 species